GAUGCUCAAGUUAGAUGCUCAUCUGAUGUUGUGUUGCUGGACAGUACAGAAAGCGCACAAGUGGGAGAGAGUGGAGGGGACGGCGUCAGAAAGGACCUAGAGCUGGGACACUUUCAUGGAUCACCUAAAGCACAACUACACUAUAUCCACAAGGCUGUUGGUUCUAACAUUUUAGAGUCCCCUUCAGUAGAAAUCACAUUCUCUGUUCCCCACACUAAAAAAAGAUGGUGUGGGGGGGGGGGUUUCCUUUUAGAAAUGCCCCCCCCCCCCCCUUGGGAUGCCCCCUCUAACGUUGGGCCUUUGGAAUUGUCCUAAUCUUCCCUCCCCUUACAGCAUCCCUGGUUGAAGGUUCCCUUCUCAAACUGUGCAAUACAUUUUCACACCACAAAUGUACACAUCUCUUGUGAUGAGACACAUUACUAAAACAUGUUUUUUACAGAACCUAGUUUUCCACCAAAAUAAAAGAUCAGCUGGUUUCA
ensembl:lncRNA